CAGCUCCCCCAAGACUGCUUUAUUUCUCUGGCCCCUUCAGCAGGGUCUCAGAGCCCCUUCAGCCGUUGUUCACCCAGAGGACUCUCGGUCCCUGCUCGGGGUCUCUCCGCCGCACCCCAGCCCACCCUCUGUGCCUGCUGUCUAAUCUUCCUCAACUUAUCGAAAGGGAGAAAGGAGCCCCUCAUCUUUCUCCGCCACACAACUCCAGACAGUUACAAAGUUCGACCGAGUCCCAAAGAGCUCCGUGCGGCCCUGCUAAGUGCAAACAUGAUUUCUCAGGGAUGGUUGCGAGAGUUUGACCUCCAGAGAACGCCCAAGGAGAAACAAGGCUGUUUACUAGAGGCCUGCUUCAGAAAUUAGUAUGUUCAUUCAAGGCCUGGGUGAUCUCUAUUGUACCAUUCCCUUAAAAAAAAGGAGCAGUGUGUAAUUUAAAAUGUCAGAAAAUGGUAAUAAAAGGGUGGAGAGUG